GGCGUCUAUAAAUAAACACGCACAUAUGUACGUACCUAUCACUGACUGAAAAACGGGUAUAACAGUUGUGAAGCGUUCCAGCUCGUCUCACGUUCUUCCUCGUUUCUUUCCUGUUUCCUGGACGCUCCGACGCUUGACUUCAUUUCAUUUAAUACUUGUGGAGGUGGAUGCGGAAUAAAAGGAACUGCGAAAGAGAGACGAACAUAGUGGCAGGGAUAAUACCGAACGCAUGAGGAAUUUGGUUCCGGGCCAGGUCCCAAUAUUUACUUUUAAAGAAGUUUGGCACGUGUUAAGUGGAUAAAUAAAUUGCUUGGAAUUGUUUCAAUGCUUUAGCCAAUUUUAUCCAAAUGUAAAGUGAAAGCCACAUCGAGAA
rnacentral:lncRNA from 1 species